AGCCAUAUCAUCAGGAAUGUGCCCCAUCUUGUCUGAUCUUAGAUGCUAAGCAGUUUUGGGCCUGGUUAGUACUUGGAUGAGAGAAUGCAUGUUUGGCUC
rnacentral:rRNA from 1 species